GCGGCGAACGGGUGAGUAACACGUGAGCAACCUACCUCCAACUUCGGGAUAAGCUCGGGAAAUCGGGUCUAAUACCGGAUAUCACCUCCGUUCUCAUGGGUGGGGGUUGAAAGUUCUGGCGGUUGGGGAUGGGCUCGCGGCCUAUCAGCUUGUUGGUGGGGUAAUGGCCUACCAAGGCGUCGACGGGUAGCCGGCCUGAGAGGGCGACCGGCCACACUGGGACUGAGACACGGCCCAGACUCCUACGGGAGGCAGCAGUGGGGAAUAUUGCGCAAUGGGCGAAAGCCUGACGCAGCAACGCCGCGUGAGGGAUGACGGCCUUCGGGUUGUAAACCUCUUUCAGCAGGGACGAAGCGAGAGUGACGGUACCUGCAGAAGAAGGACCGGCCAACUACGUGCCAGCAGCCGCGGUAAUACGUAGGGUCCGAGCGUUGUCCGGAAUUAUUGGGCGUAAAGGGCUCGUAGGCGGUUCGUCACGUCGGGAGUGAAAACUCGGAGCUCAACUCCGAGCCUGCUUCCGAUACGGGCAGACUAGAGGUAGGCAGGGGAGAGCGGAACUCCUGGUGUAGCGGUGGAAUGCGCAGAUAUCAGGAAGAACACCGGUGGCGAAGGCGGCUCUCUGGGCCUUACCUGACGCUGAG
rnacentral:rRNA from 1 species